rfam:Setaria italica strain Yugu1 chromosome III, whole genome shotgun sequence.
AUCAUGGAUUCUUUAGAAUCCAUUGUAUAUUCAAAUUAAUGUUUACU